UACGUAGGGGGCAAGCGUUGUCCGGAUUUAUUGGGCGUAAAGAGCGUGUAGGCGGUUAGGUAGGUCCGUUGUGAAAACUCGAGGCUCAACCUCGAGACGCCGAUGGAAACCAUCUGACUAGAGUCCGGAAGAGGAGAGUGGAAUUCCUGGUGUGGCGGUGAAAUGCGCAGAUAUCAGGAAGAACACCCGUGGCUAAGGCGGCUCUCUAGUACGGUACUGACGCUGAGACGCGAAAGCGUGGGGAGCGAACAGG
rnacentral:rRNA from 1 species